rnacentral:rRNA from 1 species
UACGGGGGGUGCAAGCGUUGUUCGGAAUUACUGGGCGUAAAGGGCUCGUAGGGGGCCAACUAAGUCAGACGUGAAAUCCCUCGGCUUAACCGGGGAACUGCGUCUGAUACUGGAUGGCUUGAGUUCGGGAGAGGGAUGCGGAAUUCCAGGUGUAGCGGUGAAAUGCGUAGAUAUCUGGAGGAACACCGGUGGCGAAGGCGGCAUCCUGGACCGACACUGACACUGAGGAGCGAAAGCCAGGGGAGCAAACGGG